UACAGAGGUCUCAAGCGUUUGUUCGGAUUCAUUGGGCGUAAAGGGUGCGUAGGCGGCGCGGUAAGUCGGGUGUGAAAUUUCGGAGCUUAACUCCGAAACUGCAUUUGAUACUGGCGUGCUUGAGGACUGGAGAGGAGACUGGAAUUCAUGGUGUAGCAGUGAAAUGCGUAGAGAUCAUGAGGAAGACCAGUGGCGAAGGCGGGUCUCUGGACAGUUCCUGACACUAAGGCACGAAGGCCAGGGGAGCAAACGGG
rnacentral:rRNA from 1 species